UUUUGGACAAUGGGCGCAAGCCUGAUCCAGCAAUGCCGCGUGCAGGAUGAAGGCCUUCGGGUUGUAAACUGCUUUUGUACGGAACGAAACGGUUCGCCUUAAUACGGUGGGCUAAUGACGGUACCGUAAGAAUAAGCACCGGCUAACUACGUGCCAGCAGCCGCGGUAAUACGUAGGGUGCAAGCGUUAAUCGGAAUUACUGGGCGUAAAGCGUGCGCAGGCGGUUAUAUAAGACAGAUGUGAAAUCCCCGGGCUCAAUCUGGGACCUGCAUUUGUGACUGUAUAGCUAGAGUACGGUAGAGGGGGAUGGAAUUCCGCGUGUAGCAGUGAAAUGCGUAGAUAUGCGGAGGAACACCGAUGGCGAAGGCAAUCCCCUGGACCUGUGCUGACGCUCAUGCACGAA
rnacentral:rRNA from 1 species